rnacentral:rRNA from 1 species
CGCAUCUGUGCAUGCAGCAUAUCAAUAAGCGGAGGAAAAGUACCUACGCUUAGGAUGUUGACACACGCGCGUGCUCGACUCUAUACAUGACUCUGUGCAUAUCAAUAAGCGGAGGAAAAGGCUGCGGAACUGAAUAGAGACUCAGAGCUGCAUAUCAAUAAGCGGAGGAAAAGAAACUAACAAGGAUUCCCUUAGUAACGGCGAGUGAAGCGGGAAGAGCUCAAAUUUGAAAUCUUCAAGGUUCUACCUUGACCAAUUGUAGUUUAUAAGAAGUGUUUUCUGUUAGUAGAGUGGCAAAAGUUCUUUGGAAUAGGACAUCAUAGAGGGUGAGAAUCCCGUAUUUGACCGUUACUUUCCGGCUGUGUGAUACACUUUCAAAGAGUCGGAUUGUUUGGGAAUGCAGUCCAAGAUGGGUGGUAAAUUUCAUCUAAAGCUAAAUAUUGGCGAGAGACCGAUAGCGAACAAGUACCGUGAGGGAAAGAUGAAAAGAACUUUGAAAAGAGAGUUAAACAGUACGUGAAAUUGUCAAAAGGGAAGCGUUUGACACCAGUGUUGUUUUUCCGAAAAUCAAUUACGAAUGUUUUGUUUUUAAGAAGUUAUGACUUCAUCGGCUUGCUUCUUUCUUUACGAAACUUUCUUAAUGCACUUUUCGGUUAACAAGUCAACAUCAAUUUCUUUUGUUGUAAAAGGGUAUGAGGAAGGUGGCUUUCUUUUCGGAGAAAGUGUUUAUAGCCUUGUGCCUCUGCAAUCGGAGAGAUUGAGGUCUGCAGCGUAGAUCCUUCGGGGUUAGAUACGUUUGUGCUAAGUUAUAGCUUUUCAUAGACAACUUGUUGACUAUGUUUAGUCUUGUAGCUUACUCGCUGACGCUAUUUUACCUACGCUUAGGAUGUUGACGAGACUGUCGAUCUC